AUUGAACGCUGGCGGCAGGCCUAACACAUGCAAGUCGAGCGGAUGAAGGGAGCUUGCUCCUGGAUUCAGCGGCGGACGGGUGAGUAAUGCCUAGGAAUCUGCCUGGUAGUGGGGGAUAACGUCCGGAAACGGGCGCUAAUACCGCAUACGUCCUGAGGGAGAAAGUGGGGGAUCUUCGGACCUCACGCUAUCAGAUGAGCCUAGGUCGGAUUAGCUAGUUGGUGGGGUAAAGGCCUACCAAGGCGACGAUCCGUAACUGGUCUGAGAGGAUGAUCAGUCACACUGGAACUGAGACACGGUCCAGACUCCUACAGGAGGAAGCAGUCGGGAAUAUUAGACCAUGGGCGAAAGCCUAAUCCAGCCAUACGGCGUGUGUGAAGAAGGUCUUCGGAUUGUAAAGCACUUUAAGUUGGGAGGAAGGGCAGUAAGUUAAUACCUUGCUGUGUUGACGUUACCAACAGAAUAAGCACCGGCUAACUUCGUG
rnacentral:rRNA from 1 species